CCUCCCUCCCGCCGCACCGAACGGGAAGUCACCGGCUCGCGCGAGCGCAGCCAAUGGUGAUCCGUGGGGCGCGCGAACCAGGGAACCCUGACUCUCUAUUUUUCAACACUUGGAGUUGGCAAUGCUACUCUGCAUUCGGGAAGCAGAACCAGUGGCAUUUUCCUUUGGAGGAGGUAUCCCAGAGGGAAAGGGCUCCUCUAGCCCAUAAUGUAGAUCUUCCUCACAGACUAACACGGCUGUUACUCUGAAACCUCAGCUUAUGCUUCCUCCGUCGUGUCAGCUGUACCCCAUCCAGGACUGCCCCCGUCCUACCUCCUGCUCAUCUCUGGGAGAGGAACUUCCACUUGUCCUAGACCACCAGGGAGGGUUAGUGAGCCCCACCUGCCACAGUGAGCCUGCAGGAGACUUUGUGCUUUGUUUUAAUAUCCGCUCAACAGAAGAGCUUUUCAGCCUUUGCAACAAUGGACAAAGAGGGACAUUAAUUGGCGGUUUUAGAGUUCCUAUGCACCAGUCAUUUGCCUACCUUUGCCUGAAGCUGAUGUAUCAGGAACAUAUUUGAUGAACGAAGUGUUGUCCAUAUAUUCAUUUGCUAGACUAAACCGUGCAUGAGAGGUUCCUCAGAAGUAAGGUCAAGGAUGCUGUCCCGCCGCUUGUGAUAUUCUCCAGGAGCUUUCAGUUCCUCAAUCAAUUAAUAGAAUGUGUUCUCUGUCUCAUGCAUAGUUUAUUAAUUUGUGACAUUUAUUGUCAUGUAUGUAAUAAGUUAUCAAAGUUCUAGACCAUGAAAGUGACUAUUACACAAUACAUUAAAACAUUGUUUUUCAUAUCUAACGGUCUCAGAACACUACACAUCGGAGAGUGCAACUGACUGGGAAUUCCUUAAACAAAAUGCGAGAGGUCUGCAGCAUUUGAUGACAUGUGGAGCCUCCUAGUGUAAUGAAAGGUAUGGCAUGCUGAUUCCCAAGCCUAGCAUUUCGGUGAGAUGCAUGUUAGAUGUUAUCAAAUUCUGCCAGCCUAACUGUGAAAUUCUGCACUGCAAGAUGAAGUGAAAUUUUGUGUGCAUCUUUCUAGUAUUGCAAAGACACAAUUAUUCUGCAGGAUUAUUCAGGGAUGGCAGAGAACUCUUUGUUCUCAUCUGGCUCCCAGUUUUGAGUUUGUAAUAAAGAUACAGUUAAAAGAAACAUGCACUUGCUAUGUGCACAAACAGGAUAUGAGAAAUGUAGCAAAUAUUGCCCUUAUUCAUGUUAAACAUACUGGAUUUACGGAAAAUGCACACUGGCUAAUCUAUUUAAAAUCUUUAAUUUGAACCAGAAAUUGAGGGUGACAUCCUGGCCCUAUUGAAGUCAAAGGGAGUUCUAGCUAUUGAGUUCAGUGGGGCCAGAAUUUCACUCUCUGAGUGCUAUUGCUGAAUGACCACAGGCAAGUCACUUGACUUUUCUGAGAUUCAGUUUUCCAUCUGUUAAAUUGGGAUGAUGAUGAUACUUGGUGUCCACAUGGAGACUUAAUGUGUGUUGUGAAUCCUGACUGCCUGUGUGGACCCUGUUAUUGCACACUAAAAGUUCUGUGUAUACAGGUCCACACAACCAGUCAUUGUGUGGCUAGCUGGCUGUAGAUUGACACCACAGCUUGAGGCACAUUAAAUCUCUGUGUAGACUCCCUCUAAGUAUCAGAUCCCAAUUUAACAGAUGGAAAACAGAAGCCAAAGUCUCCAUGUAGAUAAGCCCUUUACUUUCCUAUGUAAAGUGCCUUGAGAUCUGUGGAUGAAAAGUAUUGCAUAAGAGCUAUUGUUUUAUACUUAUUUCUGCUAUAAUAAAAGAAAAGUUAGGAAGCCAGCUGGACAGUGUGUAGUCAAGAAGAGGCAUACUAUGAAUAUAUGUGGCCAGAUUUUCAGACUUACCAAGCACUCACAACUAAAGUUGAAUUAAUUGGAGCGGUGUGCGCUCAGCAUCUCUGAAAAUCAGACCAGUAAUACCGAAAUGCAUAGGUGUGUACAUAUAGAGUGUGUGUGUGUGUGUGUAAUAUGAGUUAAACACUGAUCAUAUUUGCCAGAAACAUGAUAUGGAAACCCUGCCCACUGCAUCACACAGAUCUGCCGCCAUCUGUUCACAAAGAACUGCUGCAUUGAAAAGAGAAGCUUGUAGUGUAAUUCUGUUUCCAUUAAAGCUUGCAGAGAAUUUGGUUUAUUCUAGAUAUUUAUUUCUUUUGAACAAAGACUUGAUCAGAGUCCAUUAUUUUGAAAUUCUCAUGAAUAUUAACACCUUUUAAGUGAAGGUGCCCAUUUCUGUGUAAACAUCCAGUUACCCUCUAGCUGCUGAGAAAGCAGGCUUUUGUUUGUUGUUUUUUAUUAAAGAUUAUAUUCCCAGAGAGUAUAUCUAAUAACACCAGUAAUUAAAACAGCAGGGCAAGCUGUCUCUCUUUUUGGACCAUACGGCAGUGCCAUAAUUAAAUGAUUACCUAGCAAAAUGGCCUUGUUUCAGCAUAGCCAUUUAGUCCUGAUUAACAAAAAGUCUAUCUCCUGAUUCUUGUGGGAACACACAGGAAUUAUCAGAUUAAGUGAUACAAUCAAAACAACUACACUUUGUCAUUCAUGGGUCUUUGCCAUAAUUUUUAUCUAGCCAAAUAACUUGGUUUUUUAAAAGCACUUAUUAAUUCCAGAGCUGCCUGAGCUUACUAAUUAAAACCAAGGUUAUGUGACCAUCUAGUUACACUGGGGCCAUCAGUCUCAAGGUACUCAGCUAUCAGUAUGUUGGAUGCUGUGGAUUUGAAAGCUAUGGGAAAUUGAACUUAAACAUGAACUAUCCCCAAAACAAUGACAUUUGAUGUGAUGAUGAAAACAAUGAUCCAAUGUGCAGAGAGUCUCAUGUUCAGCAUCCACUACACAACCCUUAUUCUAUCUAUUGCAAAGAUACUGCAUCACUGAACCAUAUUAAAAGGUAACAUUUGUGUUGGAUCUGUAGUCAAUCAUGGCACUCUGCUGCUCAAAACACCUCCCAUUUUGUCUGUUCCCAACAUGACUUGAGAUCUGUGAAUUUAAUAAUGCUUUAAAUCCUCAACUCUCCACUUGGCAAGGAGAUAGUUGUGACGUUACACCUAUAUUCUUCCUAGAAAUAUUGUUAUGAUAUGAAUAUGGCAUAACUAAGAUAUAUUUUAUGCAAGGUGGGUUGUGAGGUAUCAUUGGAAGGUUAUGAUUUACUGAAUGUGAUUAUCAUAUUUGUAUGCAUGUAUCGUUGCUGUAUCUUAAGUUGGCAAUAUAAACUCUAUCAAUUGCAAAAGUGUUUGUAUCUGGGAAACGCCCAUCAGACAGUAGGCAAUCAGCCUCAAUGGGCCACUAGGGAGAAUGAUAAAACUUGAAAGAUACUAAUCUCCUGCCUUCCUGAGAAAUUUCCUGGGAUGCUGCUUUGACCCUGCAGGGUCAGGUGAUGUCACCUGGUAUGGAGUACCACCUUGGACACUGCUGGUAUUUUUCCACUGGAAAAAGGAUUCCUGCCUUAUAUACAUUCUAUUUAAGGCUGGGAAGUAAGUCAAAUAAGGCUCUUCUCCAUUGCCUCCCUGCCCAAGAAGGAAGACUCUGAAAGCACCUGAAGAGACAGAGGAACUAAACUGGGGAAAAGGCCAGGGCUCAGCCCAGGCUAAGAAAGGGGUCUAGUCUGUAAAGAAAAGUAACUGGAAUUCUAAGCUGCAGAAACUCUGCAACCUGCCUAAAACAAUAUUUAGGGUGAGAAAUUACAUUUUGUAACCUGUUUAAUGAAUUAAGCUUAGGUUGCAUGUUUUAUUUUAUUUGCUCAGUAAUCUGCUUUGUUCUGUUUACUAUCCCUUAUAAUCACUUAACAUUUACCUU